UUUGAUAAGCUGACAUGGGACAGGAAUUCUUUUUCACUGUUGUGUCAAUUUAUCAAACC
rnacentral:pre_miRNA from 1 species